UACGUAGGUGGCAAGCGUUAUCCGGAAUUAUUGGGCGUAAAGCGCGCGCAGGCGGUUUCUUAAGUCUGAUGUGAAAGCCCACGGCUCAACCGUGGAGGGUCAUUGGAAACUGGGGAACUUGAGUGCAGAAGAGAAAAGCGGAAUUCCACGUGUAGCGGUGAAAUGCGUAGAGAUGUGGAGGAACACCAGUGGCGAAGGCGGCUCUUUGGUCUGUAACUGACGCUGAGGCGCGAAAGCGUGGGGAGCAAACAGG
rnacentral:rRNA from 1 species